GCAUGAUCCAAUAGGAGAAGAAGAAGGAGGCGGACCGGGUUUAUACCAACGAAGAAGAAGCUGUUGUUGUCGGUGAGAGUGAGAUCUAGGAUUAAAACUUUAAAUUCCGGAUUUAAACUCCACAUUCUGUCCAACAGCGGAGGUUCUCCUUAAACCAGCCGCUACAUGACCCGCCACGGGAAGAACUGCACGGCUGGAGCUGUGUACACCUACCACGAGAAGAAGAAGGACACAGCGGCUUCUGGUUACGGGACUCAGAGCAUCCGUCUGGGUAAAGAUGCCAUCAAAGACUUUGACUGCUGCUGUCUGUCGCUGCAGCCCUGCAAGGAUCCUGUGGUGACUCCAGACGGAUUCCUGUAUGAGAAACAGGCCAUCCUGGAAUAUAUUCUCCACCAGAAGACAGAAAUCGCCAAAAAAAUGAAGGCGUAUGAGAAGCAGAAACAGGCCCAGAAGAGCAGCAGCCAGCUGGAGUCCAGGUCUGAGGAGAGAGAACGAGUGGAACGAUUUAAAAGCAGAGAGAACAGCAUUGUGUCCAAGCCCAUCAACCCGUUCUCCUCUGGACCCGGCAAAGAGGGCGAGAAGAUCCAGACCCAGAGGAGCUCAGGAGAGCCUUCCACUGGCGGGUCGGCUUCCACGUCCAGCCAGAAUCUGCCCAGUUUCUGGAUCCCGUCUCUGACACCAGAGGCCAAACCCACCCUUCUCAAGAAACCGAGUAAAGCCGUGUUGUGUCCGAUGUCCGGUCGUCCCAUCAAGAUGAACGAGUUGAUCUCCGUCCGCUUCACUCCUCUGGACUCCAGCCUGGACCGAGUGGCUCUUCUCAACCGCCAGGUAGGUUUACCGUCCAACUGUCCACUGUCCAUCAGGUCAGUUUGUUGUCCAUCAGGUCAGUUUGUUGUCCAUCAGGUCAGCUUGUUGUCCAUCAGAUCAGUUUGUUGUCCAUCAGGUCAGCUUGUUGUCCAUCAGGUCAGCUUGUUGUCCAUCAGGUCAGCUUGUUGUCCAUCAGAUCAGUUUGUUGUCCAUCAGAUCAGCUUGUUGUCCAUCAGAUCAGCUUGUUGUCCAUCAGGUCAGCUUGUUGUCCAUCAGGUCAGCUUGUUGUCCAUCAGAUCAGCUUGUUGUCCAUCAGAUCAGUUUGUUGUCCAUCAGGUCAGUUUGUUGUCCAUCAGGUCAGCUUGUUGUCCAUCAGGUCAGCUUGUUGUCCAUCAGGUCAGUUUGUUGUCCAUCAGAUCAGCUUGUUGUCCAUCAGAUCAGUUUGUUGUCCAUCAGGUCAGUUUGUUGUCCAUCAGAUCAGCUUGUUGUCCAUCAGAUCAGCUUGUUGUCCAUCAGAUCAGUUUGUUGUCCAUCAGGUCAGUUUGUUGUCCAUCAGGUCAGUUUGUUGUCCAUCAGGUCAGUUUGUUGUCCAUCAGAUCAGUUUGUUGUCCAUCAGGUCAGCUUGUUGUCCAACCAUCAGGUCAGUUUGUUGUCCAUCAGGUCAGUUUGUUGUCCAUCAGGUCAGCUUGUUGUCCAUCAGGUCAGCUUGUUGUCCAUCAGAUCAGCUUGUUGUCCAUCAGGUCAGCUUGUUGUCCAUCAGGUCAGCUUGUUGUCCAUCAGGUCAGCUUGUUGUCCAACCAUCAGAUCAGUUUGUUGUCCAUCAGGUCAGUUUGUUGUCCAUCAGGUCAGUUUGUUGUCCAUCAGGUCAGUUUGUUGUCCAUCAGGUCAGCUUGUUGUCCAUCAGAUCAGCUUGUUGUCCAUCAGAUCAGUUUGUUGUCCAUCAGAUCAGUUUGUUGUCCAUCAGAUCAGUUUGUUGUCCAUCAGAUCAGCUUGUUGUCCAUCAGAUCAGCUUGUUGUCCAUCAGUUCAGCUUGUUGUCCAACCAUCAGAUCAGUUUGUUGUCCAUCAGGUCAGCUUGUUGUCCAUCAGAUCAGUUUGUUGUCCAUCAGAUCAGUUUGUUGUCCAACCAUCAGGUCAAUUUGUUGUCCAUCAGGUCAGCUUGUUGUCCAUCAGGUCAGCUUGUUGUCCAUCAGGUCAGCUUGUUGUCCAUCAGAUCAGCUUGUUGUCCAUCAGAUCAGCUUGUUGUCCAUCAGGUCAGCUUGUUGUCCAACCAUCAGAUCAGCUUGUUGUCCAUCAGGUCAGCUUGUUGUCCAUCAGGUCAGCUUGUUGUCCAUCAGGUCAGCUUGUUGUCCAUCAGGUCAGCUUGUUGUCCAACCAUCAGGUCAGUUUGUUGUCCAUCAGGUCAGUUUGUUGUCCAUCAGGUCAGUUUGUUGUCCAUCAGGUCAGCUUGUUGUCCAUCAGGUCAGCUUGUUGUCCAUCAGAUCAGCUUGUUGUCCAUCAGAUCAGUUUGUUGUCCAUCAGAUCAGUUUGUUGUCCAUCAGAUCAGCUUGUUGUCCAUCAGGUCAGCUUGUUGUCCAACCAUCAGAUCAGCUUGUUGUCCAACCAUCAGAUCAGCUUGUUGUCCAUCAGAUCAGUUUGUUGUCCAUCAGAUCAGUUUGUUGUCCAUCAGAUCAGCUUGUUGUCCAUCAGAUCAGCUUGUUGUCCAUCAGAUCAGCUUGUUGUCCAUCAGAUCAGCUUGUUGUCCAUCAGAUCAGUUUGUUGUCCAUCAGGUCAGUUUGUUGUCCAUCAGAUCAGCUUGUUGUCCAUCAGAUCAGUUUGUUGUCCAUCAGAUCAGUUUGUUGUCCAUCAGAUCAGCUUGUUGUCCAUCAGGUCAGCUUGUUGUCCAACCAUCAGAUCAGUUUGUUGUCCAUCAGGUCAGUUUGUUGUCCAUCAGGUCAGUUUGUUGUCCAUCAGGUCAGUUUGUUGUCCAUCAGGUCAGCAGCUGGAAUGUGAUAUCAGAACAGCAGGAUUCAUGUUGGUUGUAAAAACUUUUCUUUGGUCAAUUUAUUUUUGGCUUUUUGGACUAAAUCUACAGAAAAGACUGUUUGGUGUGAAACUGAAAGCAGAUUCCUGUGAAGUUAGUAGGUGACAGUAAACCAGGUCCAGUUCUGAACAUGCAGCUUUGAUCUGAUUCAGUGAUUAAUGUGGAAUAAAAGCAGCUUCGUUUCACUUUAACGUGUGUCUCUGAUGAUCUCUGGAGGUCUGUCAGCUUCAGUUCAUCACAUCUGGGAGGUUUCAGUUGGUCUUUGUUGAGUUGGUGCAGCUGAUCAACCCUGAAGAUCAGUCACCUGCAGCUCUAUGUGAAGACCAGUGAGGAGCUCUGUAGAGCAGAUAGAAGUUUACUAUUAGAACUCUUUACCUUCAGGAUGUUGAUUUCUAGUGAAGAACUGCAGCAUGAAGCAUUUAUUCUGCUGAAAGGGAGAAAAUAACUAAAACCUGAUGGAACCUGAUAUCUGCUGUGGUUACUGAUGGACUCAGUGAGCAGAUGAACGGUGACCUUCUCCAGGAUCUUCAGCUGUGUUCAAGGUCCUGUGUUCUCCUCAGGACAGAUACGUCUGUGCCGUUACCAGAGAUGUUCUAGGAAACAGCGUUCCUUGUGCUGUUCUCAGACCUUCAGGGACGGUGGUCACUCAGGAGUGUGUGGAGAAGCUGAUCAAGAAGGACAUGAUGGAUCCAGAGACCGGAGACCAGCUGACGGAAAGAGACAUCAUCCCACUGCAGAGGGUCAGUAGAUGGAUGGAUGGAUGGAUAGAU